rnacentral:lncRNA from 1 species
UUCAAUUAAUUAACAUGCUUCUGCCGAAAGAUGCUAAUCAUUCAUGUGACCUUGUUUCUGCAGCAUAAACAGAUGAAGCAUCAAUGAUCAACAAUAAAUACUUGGAUGUGGAAUGAAUUACUCCUUGUGGGAAUUAGCAUAGACAGUUUCUUGGCAAAAAAAGCUCAAGUUCUCCGUAGUAAACUAUAGUACAGUGGGCACCAGAAAGCAAUCAUUGGGUAUUAUUCAUCAUCAACAAUCGACACAACUAUACUGUAGUAAGCUAAAUAGUAGUUGAGCCCAUGAACCAUUUAAAAAAACUAACUAAACCACCAAUUAUAACAAAAUUGUAUUGUACUCUGCCAAAUUCAAUCUUGUCGACCACUCUCGGCUAUUAGUCCUAACUGAAGCACCUGUUAACAAACUAACUAAAUCAACAUGAUUCUAAAAAACAAAAGUAUCUUAAUCACCAUUGCGAAGCCAAAAGAUGGAAGUAUCAACCCAGUUCCUUGGUAAACCCAAGUUCAUGUGUGCAGGAGAGUGGAUUCUGCCACUAACAUGGCAAUCCAGUGGCACUCCACCUAGCACACCUGUGAAUCCAUUCAACCCAAGUUCCGGGCAGCCACUCAGAACAUGGCCGAAUUUGCUACAUGGAGCGCGAUCUUCUCCGGGUACUUCUGCGCCUCGGCGGUCCGAAGAGUGGAGGGGCACAACAGAACACCAUUGUUGUCACCUAUAGACCACACUGCAGCAGGAGAGGAGAGCACUUAUCGCAUUCGAUGGGAGAGGAAGAACAGGAGGUGGGGAAGAUGAAUGAAUGGACACAGUCUACCUCACCCUCGUUCCCCGACCAGCCGCGUCGCCACCACGCGAUCGGAAGCACCCACCACCGCGUGCUGAUCUAAGAGAGAUUACCAAGGAGAGAGAUGAUCCAAUGUGGCUAUGGAGGCAGUGGGAUGCGAUGGAGGGUGGAUGUGGUGAGGAGCGGCCGCGGAUGGAACAGGGAGCGACGACAACGAUCGGAGAUCAGGACGGC